GAGUUUGAUCGUGGCUCAGAACGAACGCUGGCGGCAGGCCUAACACAUGCAAGUCGAACGCUCGUAGCAAUACGGGAGUGGCGCACGGGUGAGUAACGCGUGGGCACCUGCCCGGUGGUCCGGGAUAACCGCGGGAAACUGCGGCUAAUACCGAAUACGCCCUUAGGGGGAAAGAUUUAUCGCCAUCGGAUGGGCCCGCGUAGGAUUAGCUAGUUGGUGAGGUAACGGCUCACCAAGGCGACGAUCCUUAGCUGGUCUGAGAGGAUGAUCAGCCACACUGGGACUGAGACACGGCCCAGACUCCUACGGGAGGCAGCAGUGGGGAAUAUUGGACAAUGGGGGCAACCCUGAUCCAGCAAUGCCGCGUGCGUGAAGAAGGCCUGCGGGUUGUAAAGCACUUUCAGAGGGGAAGAAAAAUCGGAUCUAACACAUCCGAUCUUGACGUUACCCUUAGAAGAAGCACCGGCUAACUCCGUGCCAGCCGCCGCAGUAAG
rnacentral:rRNA from 1 species